rnacentral:rRNA from 1 species
UACGGAAGGUCCAGGCGUUAUCCGGAUUUAUUGGGUUUAAAGGGAGCGUAGGCCGGAGAUUAAGCGUGUUGUGAAAUGUAGAUGCUCAACCUCUGAACUGCAGCGCGAACUGGUUUCCUUGAGUACGCACAAAGUGGGCGGAAUUCGUGGUGUAGCGGUGAAAUGCUUAGAUAUCACGAAGAACUCCGAUUGCGAAGGCAGCUCACUGGAGCGCAACUGACGCUGAAGCUCGAAAGUGCGGGUAUCGAACAGG